ensembl:lncRNA
UGCUAGCUCAUAGGAAAAUUAAUCCACGUUUACUGGAUUGCUGAGCCUUUGAGAAGACAAUUUCUGCUUAACUGCAGUGGAGGAAACUAGCACAUGUUUCAGAGGAUGCUCAGAUACACAGAUGCUCUGAAGGCAGAUAUCCAGUCACUUAAAUAGCCUGGAUCUAAAAGAAUGAAGCAUUUCCUUGUAAGAGAAGGAAGAAAGAGAUACUCCAAAGAGAUUUUCUGAAGUCACUGUCAAACGGUGAAGCUGCACAUUCACACAAAAAAAGCUGCUGUUAACCUGUGAAAGGAAGUCCCACUGGGACUACUUAAUUGUGCAA